rnacentral:rRNA from 1 species
CCUACGGGAGGCUGCAGUGGGGAAUAUUGCACAAUGGGCGCAAGCCUGAUGCAGCCAUGCCGCGUGUGUGAAGAAGGCCUUCGGGUUGUAAAGCACUUUCAGCGGGGAGGAAGGCGUUAAGGUUAAUAACCUUGUCGAUUGACGUUACCCGCAGAAGAAGCACCGGCUAACUCCGUGCCAGCAGCCGCGGUAAUACGGGGGGUGCAAGCGUUAAUCGGAAUUACUGGGCGUAAAGCGCACGCAGGCGGUCUGUCAAGUCGGAUGUGAAAUCCCCGGGCUCAACCUGGGAACUGCAUUCGAAACUGGCAGGCUAGAGUCUUGUAGAGGGGGGUAGAAUUCCAGGUGUAGCGGUGAAAUGCGUAGAGAUCUGGAGGAAUACCGGUGGCGAAGGCGGCCCCCUGGACAAAUACUGACGCUCAGGUGCGAAAGCGUGGGGAGCAAACAGGAUUAGAUACCCCAGUAGUC